GACGAACGCUGGCGGCGUGCCUAAUACAUGCAAGUCGAGCGGACGGAUGGGAGCUUGCUCCCAGACCGUCAGCGGCGGACGGGUGAGUAACACGUGGGCAACCUGCCUGUAAGACUGGGAUAACUCCGGGAAACCGGGGCUAAUACCGGAUAACUCUUUCCCUCACAUGAGGGAAAGCUGAAAGAUGGCAUCUCGCUAUCACUUACAGAUGGGCCCGCGGCGCAUUAGCUAGUUGGUGAGGGAACGGCUCACCAAGGCGACGAUGCGUAGCCGACCUGAGAGGGUGAUCGGCCACACUGGGACUGAGACACGGCCCAGACUCCUACGGGAGGCAGCAGUAGGGAAUCUUCCGCAAUGGACGAAAGUCUGACGGAGCAACGCCGCGUGAGUGAUGAAGGUUUUCGGAUCGUAAAACUCUGUUGUCAGGGAAGAACGAGUACCGGAGUAACUGCCGGUACCUUGACGGUACCUGACCAGAAAGCCACGGCUAACUACGUG
rnacentral:rRNA from 1 species